rnacentral:rRNA from 1 species
GGUGAAGAGGAGCUUGCUCCUUGGAUCAGUGGCGAACGGGUGAGUAACACGUGAGCAAUCUGCCCUUGACUCUGGGAUAACUGCGGGAAACUGUAGCUAAUACCGGAUAUUACCUUGGAAGGCAUCUUCUGGGGUGGAAAGAAUUUUGGUCAAGGAUGAGCUCGCGGCCUAUCAGCUAGUUGGUGAGGUAAUGGCUCACCAAGGCGACGACGGGUAGCCGGCCUGAGAGGGUGACCGGCCACACUGGGACUGAGACACGGCCCAGACUCCUACGGGAGGCAGCAGUGGGGAAUAUUGCACAAUGGGCGCAAGCCUGAUGCAGCAACGCCGCGUGAGGGACGACGGCCUUCGGGUUGUAAACCUCUUUUAGUAGGGAAGAAGCGACUGGGUUUUCCUGGGAGUGACGGUACCUGCAGAAAAAGCACCGGCUAACUACGUGCCAGCAGCCGCGGUAAUACGUAGGGUGCAAGCGUUGUCCGGAAUUAUUGGGCGUAAAGAGCUCGUAGGCGGUUUGUCGCGUCUGCUGUGAAAACCCGAGGCUCAACCUCGGGCCUGCAGUGGGUACGGGCAGACUAGAGUGCGGUAGGGGAGAUUGGAAUUCCUGGUGUAGCGGUGGAAUGCGCAGAUAUCAGGAGGAACACCAAUGGCGAAGGCAGAUCUCUGGGCCGUAACUGACGCUGAGGAGCGAAAGCAUGGGGAGCGAACAGGAUUAGAUACCCUGGUAGUCCAUGCCGUAAACGUUGGGAACUAGAUGUGGGGACCAUUCCACGGUCUCCGUGUCGCAGCUAACGCAUUAAGUUCCCCGCCUGGGGAGUACGGCCGCAAGGCUAAAACUCAAAGGAAUUGACGGGGGCCCGCACAAGCGGCGGAGCAUGCGGAUUAAUUCGAUGCAACGCGAAGAACCUUACCAAGGCUUGACAUAUACCGGAAACGCCCAGAAAUGGUCGCCCCGCAAGGUCGGUAUACAGGUGGUGCAUGGUUGUCGUCAGCUCGUGUCGUGAGAUGUUGGGUUAAGUCCCGCAACGAGCGCAACCCUCGUCCUAUGUUGCCAGCACGUAAUGGUGGGAACUCAUGGGAUACUGCCGGGGUCAACUCGGAGGAAGGUGGGGAUGACGUCAAAUCAUCAUGCCCCUUAUGUCUUGGGCUUCACGCAUGCUACAAUGGCCGGUACAAAGGGCUGCGAUACCGCAAGGUGGAGCGAAUCCCAAAAAGCCGGUCUCAGUUCGGAUUGAGGUCUGCAACUCGACCUCAUGAAGUCGGAGUCGCUAGUAAUCGCAGAUCAGCAACGCUGCGGUGAAUACGUUCCCGGGCCUUGUACACACCGCCCGUCAAGUCAUGAAAGUCGGUAACACCCGAAGCCAGUGGCCGAACCCGUAAGG